GGGUCUCUGCGGUGUUCGUAGCAAAAUUUUCAUUUCCCUUGUCCCUAAUAACUGACCCCGGGUACUCUACUGUUAGUACUGUGUGCAUUACCGUUGGUUUAUCCAGUGGGAAGCCUAAGGUAUUAACGAGGGUUCCCACCUGAACUUUCUGGUUCAAGGUCGCUUAUUUUGAUACGGCACAGGCGGAGACCCA
rnacentral:other from 1 species